rnacentral:rRNA from 1 species
UGGGGAAUAUUGCACAAUGGGCGCAAGCCUGAUGCAGCGACGCCGCGUGAGGGAUGACGGCCUUCGGGUUGUAAACCUCUUUCAGCAGGGAAGAAGCGAAAGUGACGGUACCUGCAGAAGAAGCGCCGGCUAACUACGUGCCAGCAGCCGCGGUAAUACGUAGGGCGCAAGCGUUGUCCGGAAUUAUUGGGCGUAAAGAGCUCGUAGGCGGUUUGUCGCGUCUGCUGUGAAAACCUAAGGCUCAACCUUGGGCUUGCAGUGGGUACGGGCAGACUAGAGUGCGGUAGGGGUGACUGGAAUUCCUGGUGUAGCGGUGGAAUGCGCAGAUAUCAGGAGGAACACCGAUGGCGAAGGCAGGUCACUGGGCCGCAACUGACGCUGAGGAGCGAAAGCAUGGGGAGCGAACA